AAUAAGUGCAGCCGUGGAUAUCCGUACCCAACGUUUGACCGUCCGUCUUAUUUGAAAAUUUUGUGAAAAAUUUAAAAAUAUUUAAUUACACAUAAAGUACUAUUCAUGUUUUAUCAUCUAUUAGCAAUAAAAAUACUAAUCAUAAAAACUUUUCAAAUAAAACGAACGGUCAAACGUUGAACGUGAAUAGCGACAAAAACUGCACUUUAG
rnacentral:pre_miRNA from 1 species